UACGGGGGGAGCAAGCGUUGUUCGGAUUUACUGGGCGUAAAGGGCGCGUAGGCGGCGCAACAAGUCACUUGUGAAAUCUCCGGGCUUAACUCGGAAAGGUCAAGUGAUACUGUUGUGCUAGAGUGCGGAAGGGGCAACUGGAAUUCUCGGUGUAGCGGUGAAAUGCGUAGAUAUCGAGAGGAACACCUGCGGCGAAGGCGGGUCUCUGGACAGUUCCUGACACUGAGGCACGAAGGCCAGGGGAGCAAACGGG
rnacentral:rRNA from 1 species